UACAGAGACUGCAAGCGUUAUUCGGAUUCACUGGGCGUAAAGGGUGCGCAGGCGGCCAAGUGUGUCAGGUGUGAAAUCCCGAGGCUUAACCUCGGAACUGCGCCUGAAACUACUUGGCUAGAGUACUGGAGAGGAGAUUGGAAUUUACGGUGUAGCAGUGAAAUGCGUAGAUAUCGUAAGGAAGACCAGUGGCGAAGGCGAAUCUCUGGACAGUUACUGACACUGAGGCACGAAGGCCAGGGGAGCAAACGGG
rnacentral:rRNA from 1 species